AUGGACUUCACGUCCCAGUUCGGGGCGGCGCUGGUGGGGGCCUCGCGCCGCCGCCCCCCCCCCGCGCUCUUCCUCUCCACCGAGGAGGAGGAGGAGGAGGGGGGGGGGCGGAGCCAUGACCGGAAGCGCCGGUGCCGUGCCCGCGGGGACGCCGCUCCCCCCCCCCCCGCCGCCGCCCGCUCCGCGCCUGCGCCAUUCCAAGAGCAUCGACGAGGCCUUGUUCGCGGCGGACGCGUUCCCGGCCCGGGGGUACCGGGGGGCACCGAGGGGCGGGGCCGGAAGCGCCUUCAGCAGCGUGGCCGCCGCUUCCGGUCCGUCGCCCAGGCCCAAGGCCGUGGCGGCCGCGCUGCAUGCCGGGAUCGCCGCGCUCCAGGCCGGGCUGGGGCCGCUGCCGCCGGGCGUGGGGCUGAGGCCCAGGCCUCACCUAGCGACCGACAUGGCGUCCUUAGCGACCGACAUGGCGCCCCUAGCGACCGACAUGGCGUCCUUAGCGACCGACAUGGCGCCCUUAGCAACCGACAUGGCGCCCUUAGCGACCAAGCUGUCGCCCCUAGCCACCGACAUGGCGUCCUUGACGACCAACAUGGCGCCCUUAGCGACCAACAUGGCGCCCCUAGCGACCGACAUGGCGUCCUUAGCGACCGACCUGUCUCCCUUACCCCCGGCCCUGUCUCCCUUAGCAACGCCCUCCCUGGCGUCCUUAGCAACGCCCAAGAUGGCGCCGCUCGUUCCCCCGGUGGCCCUGCCCCCGUUCGCCCCCCCCAUGGCCCCGCUCCGCUCCGCCGUCCCCCGCCUGCCCCCCCCUCGCCGCCCCCCGUCCCCCGCCGACGCCUUCGGUGCCCCCGAGGCCCGGGUCCGGUUCGCCGAGGCCGGGGGGCUCCUGGCGCUGCCGCCGCCGGCGCCGUCGGUGGACGGGGACGAGGAGCUGCUGCUGGCGGAGCCGCUGCCGCCGCCGCUCGAGUUCGCCAACAGCUUCGAGGACGCCGCGGCCGGACCCUCGGCGGCCGCCGUCGGGGACUCCACGGCCUCCAGCCUCACGUCGUACGACAGCGAGGUGGCCACCAUCACCCAGGCCGGGCCCGAGGGGCGGCGGGGGCCGCUGGGCCCGCACCCCGACGGCCUGGACGCCGUCACCGACUCCGGUAUCGAGGAGGUCGACAGCAGGAGCAGCAGCGACCACCCCCCCGAGCACGGGGAACCGGGGCCCUAUGGAGCCGACGGCACCGAGAGGGCCAGGCCCAGGGGCCGGGGGGGGGCCCCGAGGACCGGACACCCGCAGGGCUAUGGAGCCAUGGGAGGAGACCGGACGGGGCCUGGCCUGGAGCCGGGGAGCGGCCGAUGGCAGCUACGGGGGCACCGCGGGCAGGCACAGGUGGGUGCGGGGAGGGGGGGGGUGCAUGGAACAUAUGGGGUGCAUGGGGCGAAUACAUGGAGCCUAUGGGAUGCAUGGAGCACAUGGGGUGCGUGGGGGGAAUACAUGGAGCCUAUGGGGUGCAUGGAGCACAUAGGGCGCAUGCAGCGAACACAUGGAGCCUAUGGAGCGCAUGGAGCACACGGAACACAUGGAGCACAUGGGGUGCAUGUGGUGUAAGAAACACAUGGAGCGCAUGGAACACAAGGAGCGAACACAUGGAGUGCAUGGAACCCAUUGAACACACUGAGCGCAUGGGAUACAUAGCACCCAUUGAGCACAUGGAACACGUGGCACCCAUUGAACACAUGGCAUCCAUAGCACCCAUGGUACCCAUUGCACCCAUGGCAUCCAUGGCAUCCAUGGCGCCUGUUGAAUCUUUUACACCCAUAGCACCCAUGGCAUCCACUGAACCCACAGCAUCCAUGGCAUCCAUAGCAUCUGUUGAACCCAUGGCACCCAUUGCUUCCAUGGCACCUAUAGCACCCAUUGCACUCAUUGCAUACAUGGCAUCCAUUGCAUCCAUGGCACCCGUUGUACCCUUUGCACUCAUGCCACCCGUUGUACACAUUACAGCCAUUGAGGCUGUUGCAUGGACAGGGGGAUGUUGCACCCAUUACCCAUUGCAUGGAUCAAGGGGACCUUGCACCUGUGGCACCCACUGCAGCCAUCAAAGCUACUGCACCGGGAGGGUGCUGCACCCAUGGCACCCACUGCAUGGAUCCGUGGACAUGGCACCCAUUGGGGGGGGGGCUGUUGCAGCCAUCGCACGUGGGGGGGGGGUUACAGUGGUGUUGCACCCAUCACACCCUUCUCAAGCACCUCCAUUGCACCCAGUGUCCAUCACCCCCAUUGUGUUCAUCAACCCCAUUGUGUCCAUCAACCCCAUUGUGUCCAUUGACCCCGUUGUGUCUGUUAACCCCAUUGUGUCCAUUACCCCAUUGUUUCCAUUACCCCCAUUGUGUCCAUUGACCCUAUUGCAUCCAUUGACCCCAUCAUGUCCAUUACUCCCAUCAUGUUCAUCCCCUCCAUUGACCCCAUUGUCCCCAUCAACCCCAUUGUGCUCAUUGACUCCAUUGACGCCACUGUCCCCAUCAACCCCAUUGUCCCCAUCAACCCCAUUGACCCCAUUGUCCUCAUCAUUGCCGUUGUCCCCCUCAAACCCCCUCUUUCUAACCCCCCCCUCCCUCCCCACAGGCUCCCGGACCCCCCCCCACCCCCUCAGCCCUCCAAGCCCCCCCCUUCCUCCUCCAUCUCCCCCUCCUCCAUCCUCUUCCCCAACUGGCCCCCGGGCCCCAAGUCCCCUUUGGGAGGGGUCGGGGUGGGGGGGUUGGACCUGGACAUCCGCCCCCCCCUGCGGCGAGCCCCGAGCCCGGCCACGCUGCCCAGCGAGCGCCGGGGCAGCCCCGCUCCGCGCCCGGCAUCCCUGCCCACGUUACCGGCGGCUGCCCCGCUCUAUGCCGGCUUCCUGGAGCUGCGGGGGGGGCCGUUCGGGGACGGGGGGGGCAGCUCCAGGUCCCUGUCCCCGACGAGGCCCCCGCCGCCCCCCCCGGAUAAGCCGUUCGGGGCCAAGCCCCUGGCGUUCUGGAGCAAGUUCGACGUGGCUGACUGGCUGGAGUACCUGA
rnacentral:lncRNA from 1 species